GAUGAACGCUAGCGGCAGGCCUAAUACAUGCAAGUCGAACGGAUAUAUGUUUUUCGGAAUAUAUAUUAGUGGCGCACGGGUGAGUAACACGUACAUAACUUGCCCUCAAGCGGGGGAUAGCCUUGGGAAACUGAGAGUAAUACCCCCAUAGAAUUAUUGGACGGCAUCGUUUGAUAAUUAAAACUACGGUGCUUGGGGAUAGAUGUGCGUCUGAUUAGCUAGUUGGUGAGGUAACUGCUCACCAAGGCGACGAUCAGUAGGGGGCGUGAGAGCGUGGCCCCCCACACGGGUACUGAGACACGGACCCGACUCCUACGGGAGGCAGCAGUAAGGAAUAUUGGUCAAUGGAGGGAACUCUGAACCAGCCAUGCCGCGUGAAGGAUGACGGCCCUCUGGGUUGUAAACUUCUUUUGGAUGGGGCGAAAAAACGGGAUUUAUCCUGGACUGACGGUACCAUCAGAAUAAGCACCGGCUAACUCCGUG
rnacentral:rRNA from 1 species